rnacentral:rRNA from 2 species
UUGGGAAUCUUGGACAAUGGGCGAAAGCCUGAUCCAGCCAUGCCGCGUGAGUGAUGAAGGCCUUAGGGUUGUAAAGCUCUUUUACCCGGGAAGAUAAUGACGGUACCGGGAGAAUAAGCUCCGGCUAACUUCGUGCCAGCAGCCGCGGUAAUACGAAGGGGGCUAGCGUUGUUCGGAAUUACUGGGCGUAAAGCGUGCGCAGGCGGCCUUUUAAGUCAGGGGUGAAAGCCCAGAGCUCAACUCUGGAAUUGCCUUUGAAACUAUUAGGCUUGAGUGCGGGAGAGGUGAGUGGAAUUCCCAGUGUAGAGGUGAAAUUCGUAGAUAUUGGGAAGAACACCGGUGGCGAAGGCGGCUCACUGGCCCGUUUCUGACGCUCAUGCACGAUAGCGUGGGGAUCAAACAGG